AUUGAACGCUGGCGGAAUGCUUUACACAUGCAAGUCGAACGGCAGCACGGACUUCGGUCUGGUGGCGAGUGGCGAACGGGUGAGUAGUAUAUCGGAACGUAUCCAAUAAUGGGGGAUAACUAAUCGAAAGGUUGGCUAAUACCGCAUACGUCCUACGGGAGAAAGCUAGGGACCUUCGGGCCUGGCGUUAACGGAGCGGCCGAUAUCUGAUUAGCUAGUUGGUGAGGCAAAGGCUCACCAAGGCGACGAUCAGUAGCUGGUCUGAGAGGACGACCAGCCAAACUGGAACUGAGACACGGUCCAGACUCCUACGGGAGGCAGCAGUGGGGAAUUUUGGACAAUGGGCGCAAGCCUGAUCCAGCCAUUCCGCGUGAGUGAAGAAGGCCUUCGGGUUGUAAAGCUCUUUCGCAAGGGAAGAAAACUUAUCCUCUAACAUAGGAUGAGGUUGACGGUACCUUGAUAAGAAGCACCGGCUAACUACGUGCCAGCCGCCGCCGUAACAC
rnacentral:rRNA from 1 species